rnacentral:rRNA from 1 species
AGAGUUUGAUCCUGGCUCAGAGCGAACGCUGGCGGCGUGGAUUAGGCAUGCAUGUCGAGCGAGAAACCGGGGCAACUCGGGAGUAAAGCGGCACACGGGUGAGGAAUGCGUGGAUAACUUGCCUUCGAGACCGGGAUAACGGUGGGAAACCGCCGCUAACACCGGAUGGCCUCGGGACGCGGCAUCGCGACCCGAGUAAAGGUGGGGAGCGGUCCGCAAGGAUCGCCCUGCUGCUCGGAGAGAGGUUCACGCCCUAUCAGCUAGUUGGCGGGGUAACGGCCCACCAAGGCAUUGACGGGUAGGCGAGCUGAGAGGCUGACCGCCCACACUGGGACUGAGACACUGCCCAGACUCCUACGAGAGGCUGCAGUCGAGAAUCUUCCGCAAUGGACGCAAGUCUGACGGAGCGACGCCGCGUGCGGGAUGAAGGUCUUUGGAUUGUAAACCGCUGUCACGCGUUAUGAAAAAGCGGGGGCCAACACCCCCUGCCUUGACCAAGGCGCGGGAGGAAGACACGGCUAACUCUGUGCCAGCAGCCGCGGUAAUACAGAGGUGUCAAGCGUUGCUCGGUGUCACUGGGCUUAAGGGCGCGUAGGCUGUGCGGUACGGUUCGGGUGAAAUCCCUCGGCUCAACCGAGGAACUGCCCGGGCGACGGCCGCGCUGGACUGCAUCAGGGGCGGAUGGAACUCCCGGUGGAGCGGUGAAAUGCGUAGAUAUCGGGAGGAACGCCGGUGGCGAAAGCGAUCCGCUGGGGUGCAAGCGACGCUGAGGCGCGAAAGCCAGGGGAGCAAACGGGAUUAGAUACCCCGGUAGUCCUGGCCCUAAACGAUGCGUACUAGAUAGCGGCUCCUUCCGAGGAGCCGCUGUCGGAGCGAAAGCAUUAAGUACGCCGCCUGGGGAGUACGGCCGCAAGGUUAAAACUCAAAGGAAUUGACGGGGGCUCACACAAGCGGUGGAGGAUGUUGCUCAAUUCGAAGCAACGCGAAGAACCUUACCAGGACUUGACAUGCUCGUAGUAGGAGCCGGAAACGGUGACGACCUCCCGCAAGGGAGGAGCGAGCACAGGUGUUGCAUGGCUGUCGUCAACUCGUGCCGUGAGGUGUCGGGUUAAGUCCCAUAACGAGCGAAACCCCUGCAUCCAGUUGCGACCGUGAAAGACGAGCACUCUGGGUGGACUGCCGGUGUCAAACCGGAGGAAGGUGGGGACGACGUCAAGUCAUCAUGGCCCUUACGUCCUGGGCUGCAAACGUCCUACAAUGGCGCUUACAAAGGGAUGCCAACCCGCGAGGGGGAGCGAAUCUCAGAAAGAGCGCCUCAGUUCGGAUUGUAGGCUGCAAUUCGCCUACAUGAAGCUGGAAUCGCUAGUAAUCGCGGAUCAGCUAUGCCGCGGUGAAUGUGUUCCUGAGCCUUGUACACACCGCCCGUCAAGCCAUGGGAGUCGGGAGUACCUUAAGUCGCUGACCGAACCGCAAGGACGGAGGCGCCCAAGGUAAAACCGAUGACUGGGACUAAGUCGUAACAAGGUAACC